CGUGGAGUAGCUUAACCGGAAGAGCGCCAAGUCCAUCUAUUGGUUAAUGCAAGGUAACGAUCUGUAUUAUACCGCUUGGUCCGUGCGGGUUCGAGUCCCGCCUCCACAA
rnacentral:tRNA from 1 species